GAUGAACGCUGGCGGCGUGCCUAAUACAUGCAAGUCGAGCGAACAGACGAGGAGCUUGCUCCUCUGACGUUAGCGGCGGACGUGUGAGUAACACGUGGAUAACCUACCUAUAAGACUGGGAUAACUUCGGGAAACCGGAGCUAAUACCGGAUAAUAUAUUGAACCGCAUGGUUCAAUAGUGAAAGACGGUUUUGCUGUCACUUAUAGAUGGAUCCGCGCCGCAUUAGCUAGUUGGUAAGGUAACGGCUUACCAAGGCAACGAUGCGUAGCCGACCUGAGAGGGUGAUCGGCAACACUGGAACUGAGACACGGUCCAGACUCCUACGGGAGGCAGCAGUAGGGAAUCUUCCGCAAUGGGCGAAAGCAUGACGGAGCAACGCCGCGUGAGUGAUGAAGGUCUUCGGAUCGUAAAACUCUGUUAUUAGGGAAGAGCAAAUGUGUAAGUAACUAUGCACGUCUUGACGGUACCUAAUCAGAAAGCCACGGCUAACUACGUG
rnacentral:rRNA from 1 species